rnacentral:misc_RNA from 1 species
UCCGGCUUAUCACCGGCGGUUUCUUUAGAGUGCCCAACUAAAUGAUGGCAACUAAAGACGAGGGUUGCGCUCGUUGCGGGACUUAACCCAACAUCUCACGACACGAGCUGUCGACAGCCAUGCACCACCUGUCUCCGCGCCCCUUGCGGGGACCACCCAUCUCUGGGCUUAGCACGGGAUGUCAAGGCCUGGUAAGGUUCUGCGCGUUGCGUCGAAUUAAACCACAUGCUCCACCGCUUGUGCGGGCCCCCGUCAAUUCCUUUGAGUUUUGGCCUUGUGGCCGUACUCCCCAGGCGGGGCGCUUAAUGCGUUAGCUGCGGCACGGAACUCGUGGAAUGAGCCCCACACCUAGCGCCCAACGUUUACGGCAUGGACUAC